GUUGGAGCUGAGUGAUCUCUAAGGUCCCUUCCAACCCAAGCUGUUCUAUGAUUCUAUGAUCAGACCAUUCUUUCCACUUUAUGGUGCUAUUCUGGUGGCAAGGGCCCAACAACAGAUCACUGCCUCCAUCUGUUAACUGGACCAUCUUCCAGCCAGGAAAAACAUCAGGUUUCAACCAGAGUCGAAGAAGACAGGAGUAAAAAUCAGGCCUAAAACCUGUGUGUUUGCCAGCAUGAUAUGUGAGGAGCAGGAGAGGAAAAGAUAAGGAAAAAAAAAAAAAGGAAAAAAAAAGGAGGUGGGAGGGCUGAUAGGUCUCUUCACCGUGUCUAGCUGUAAUUCUCACACCUGAGGGGGGGAGUCAAAAGUAGCUAUUCACAUCCCCUUGGGAUAUGACACCCUCAUUUUCCAUGCUGGGUAAAGACAAAAACCCUUUACAACAUGUUUCUGGAAUUUGUCAGCGGCUGCCAGCAGCAGCAUGUUAAUUAAAUGUCGGCAAAGAUGGAAGCAAGAGGCUCUGCUCUAAUUGGACACUUUGCUUGGUGGAGCUGAAAAACAUUGUGACAGAGGAGGAGGUGCCGAAACACUGUGUUCCCCCGCCAUGUCGAAGGGACGGGGACAGCAAGGCAUAGGAAAUGCACUGUUCUGAACCGAGGUUGUCUUUGCUUAGCCUGAGACAACCUCACUGGUGAAAAAAAGGAGUAGCAAAAAAGGAAGAGGCCUAAAAUUCUCCACAGGAAUCAUCAUCAGCACAGCAGCAGCGUAGGAUGCAGGGAGACAGCUUUGUAGUCUAAGAGGAUGUUCAGCUAAAUUGCUGAUUUAACGGGGCAUUCCUGGUUCCUUGGCUAUGCCACCUGUGGGAUGAGCUUGGGGUGUCUCUCAAUAUAGCAGUUCAGCAUCCCUAAGUAAUAGACGUGAGCUAUGAAUCUCCCCAUCUCAUGCCACGCACUGAUGUUGUUGUCUGUAACUCAGAAGGCUUUGGCCGGGAUAGUUUUGCUCCUGCCCUGGACUGUCCAGCUGAAUCACUCUUUCCACUUUGAACCUUGUGCAGGGACAAGAAAAUGAGGAGCUUUCAGUUUCUGGACAGGUCAGCCCACACAUAUUGGGGAGGCGGUGUCCCACUAUGGGGAGGCUGCCAGACCUGGCUCCAGAGCCUCUGGACUGCCUUCCCAACGGCUUGAAAACAAUCUCAGGAUUUAGUAACCAAAAACCGAGCAGCCUUCAUUGCUUUAGCAAGGCUGUUAGCCCCCAUCUCAUUCAUCUCUGAGCACCAGAACAUAGUCCUGCCCCAUGUGCUGAUGUGGAGGGGAGCCCCAGCCCCAUUCCUUGUCCUCUGGGCUCUGCCUCCUCCUCGUGGGAAGACACCUGAAUUGCCCAGACUCUUGGGCAGUGAAGCGUUUUAUUGCCCGUGCUCUCGCGGGGCUCAGUCUGGUCUCAGUACCUAAAUCACUCUCUGGGGCCGGCCUUGCAGUUUUAAUUCCCUAAUGAACAAUGCCGGGGUCGGGCCAGCGCGUUUGAAGUGUGGUCACGGCCCCAGCGGUGGACAGAGGGUUUCUCAACGGGGAGCGGAGGAUUGGCCUGCUUUGGCAGGCAGGCAGAGGAGGUGUGAGAAAGGAGCUGUUGAUACCCAUGGGGAUUAGGUGGUACAAAUUGGCUGGGAAGCACCGGAGGCAUUGACCAGAGCUGUCCUGGGGCAGGUUCCCAUGGGGGGGCUGCCUGAAACAACCCUCCUUCAAGGAGGCUGGAAGGGCCAGCCUGGCUGCUAAUCCCCUGGGAGCUAUGGAGCACGAAGCAGAAAAGAGGUAAAAAAAAAAGAGAGAGAGAAAAUCUCGUGUAAAGAUGGUGGUUUCCCCAAGGGGAUGAUAGAGAGAGAGGGAAGGGGGCGGGAAGGGGGGGAACAGCACCAUUUAAUCCUGCUUUUAAUAGGCAGGUGGUGGGCUUAGAUCACACUCCCGCUCCUGCAAGCUGCUGCAGAGAUUUUGGAGAACGGCCGUGCGGACUGGCAGGGACCUCCACAUCCUUGCAAAGGAUCCCCAUCUGUGGCAAGAGGACACGUGCUUAUAUCUGUGCUUGUGUGCGUGUGCCUGUGUAGGUGUGGGUAUACGAUGUAACCCCAGGUUGGAGCUGCUGUGGGCUCACCGCAUGCCCCAGGUGCGUGCAGAGCCCCUUGUCCCCGUGCCCACGCUGCAGCUGUGUGGGUGCAAUCUCACAUGCACAUGCACCCAGCACACUUUCUGAGCACACGCACACACUCCCCGGCACAAUGAGCACCCUGUGCCAAGUGAUGUUGGCACAUCUGCGGGUGCGUGCUGGCAUUGCACGUGCGUGUGCCCUUCAGCACACCCGCAGGGACACGUGCCAGCUGUCCGGCCGCAUCGUGGCCGUGCCCAUCCGUGUACCUUUGUGCUGGUGUGAGUGCGUGCGUGUCGGACCUGGUGCGUCCACGCCUGUGUGAAAGACUCUCCAGCCCCUUCUUCAGGAGUGCUGUAAAUUGUAAUCAGAUUAAGGCAGCCAAUCACUUAGGGCCCUUGAAAAGGGCAUACGUUCCCUAAUCAGUACCUAGCAUUGAGUCUCACAAAGGGUCUAAGUAACUCGGCAGGGGUCGGGCCCUCUGGAGCGCAGGGGAGGGGGCUUGCCUUUCUUUUCUCUCUGUCCCUUGUAAUUAUGUCAAUUUGCUAGCCAAAUUGUUUGCUUGAGUGGACAGUGGGGGCUUGCCCCCCUUCCCGCCUCCCCCCCACCCCGGCCCCAUUCAUGUGCUAAUGUGGGAAGGAGCAUGGCCUCCUGACUUCAGGAGGUGGCCGUGGCCUCUCGAGGAGCAGCACGCGGUGCCCGCACCCAGCCCCGUGUCCACAGGCUGCUGCCUCCCCAUGCCUCAGCGAGAACUUCUGGCCUCCACAUGCUGAUGGACAUGAAGACAUAGUGGUGCUGCUUCUUGAGCUUCUCAUCUCAUUGCAGGGCUCUACCAUGCCAAGGGAUUCACCCCUCUGACUCUGGAGAGGGAACAAAACCUCAAGACCAGCAUGGACAGAGAGGUGGUGAAUGAUGGCAGGGAGAGAUGGUAUCACCAUUGAUGGGCAAGGAGAGAUGCUGCCUACAUCUCUCAUUACCUUGUGAGCAGGCAUAGGGCAAGCACACCCUGAGCUGCCUGCUGGCACUGCCAGUUGACCUGAGCCUAUGGGGACAUGGAGGAAAGGGUGACAGUGAGAGGAACCUAUGCUGCAGGCAUCCAUGAGCUGUGGAGAUGCUGCUGUGACAGACAUACACAAGGCUCUCAGUCACCCCACUGCCACCCAAGGCCACCUUUCCCCACCCUGCCUUGGGACAGCAGGGAGCAAAGUACAUGUGUGUCACAGGGAGUCCCCUCUGCAUGUCCCUGGAUGCCUUCUCAUGCAGCCCAGAAGACCGGGGCCCUCUCCUGCUGGCUCCUGCUUGUGUCACCUCCCUCACCUGCACCACGUCCCCUCCUCACCCCGUGGCAGGGCCGGGAGCUGUGCCAAGCUGCACAGAAGCUCCUCCGACACACCUCCCCACCCACUCCCAGCAUUUGCAUAUAUUCUGCCCGCAAAUCCUUGUCAAGGGGAGCCUCUUUAUUGCCUGUAUAGAUCACAGGGUGUUUGUUAAGGGGCUUCUUUGUAUUGCCUCAGACAGCUGGGGUCAUCAAAAGUCCUGCGGUGGGAAGGAGAGACAGGAGGAGGGGGGAAGCCCUGACAAUACGGACUGAAGGAUUAAAGGAGCAUAUAAAGUUCCUAUUGAGUGAGACAAGAGGCUGUUCACUCCCAAGAUUGACAGCAACCAGGAGGCGAUUCCCAACACAAUGUCCAAUUAAUUCUCUACCCUCUUCACUGCCGUCUCCUCCCUCCCUCCUCUCCAGGGCUUGUGUAUGAGCAGGGAAGGGCUGAAGCUAAGAUCCUCAAGAAGGUAAUUAAUUAUUCCUGACCAAGAGGAGCUUGCUGGGGCGUGAGCCUGUCCCUAGGCUCACUGGGUACCCUGUGUCCUAGCCAACAGAUUCCGUUAGCUCAGGUCACUUCAGGGGAGUUUUCCUUUCUGUCACAGGCAAAGCUGUCCCUCUGAUGGUCUGCAAAAUAACCAUGGUUAAUGCUGAGCCAAACGGGAAGAUUUUGGCUAAAUCCAGGCUUAGUUCUGGGCUGGCAGUCCUUGCAGCAGGGCAAGGUAGUGAGACAACUAGAGAGCAGAGCAGGGCAUGUGGGUAAGAUGCUCAGGCACACAUAGCAUUUAGGGAGAGGCAGAACAGCAUGUGUUUGUAUUUUGAAUUUUAAAAUUCUGCAUUUUUGAUCAAAGAUUGUAAGUUCUGUGGUUUGGGCCAAAGUGUAUUCAAUUCCCAGCCAAAAGCACCACCUUCACACUGCCCCUCUUCACUCCCACCAGACUCCUGUCUGGGCUUUCAGGAAUCAGCAUAGCAGUGUUUGGAUCCAAUGAGUGCUGAGAAGAGGAGAAGUGAGAGUACAGCCUAGCAGAGCCGGGGGGGCACAGGCUGCAUUGUCCCCGGGGUGUAGUAGGAAGGAUUUGUGAGUGUGCUCCUACCUCUCCCACUAACAGCACCUCUGGGAUUAACCCCUACAUAUGGGAGAGCAAAGUCUGGGCCACCGUAUGAAAUUCUUGUAAGCUAUUGAAUAUAAGUUGCUUGAUUCGUCUGGUCUAUUUUUUUCCCUUUGAAAAUUCAUCAGCCUGGAGGGAGGGAACAACCAGGAAGGCAUCUUCCUCAGAGCCGGCCACCUUCUUUUGUUACUUUGCACUGCUGAGCCGCCGAGGCACAUCCUUCCACACCAACAAGCAUCUCCAAAACCAGGCUGGGAGGAGCAGGACUGCGAGGACCCAGCUCUCACCACAGGGCACACUUUGGCCAACCCGUCACUUCUGGCCACAGAGGACUGGAGUUGCCCACCCCACGCACCCAGUGUGCAGGAGAUGCCCUGGGGCUCCCCGUGGCUCCACGCCUCCGCCUGCUCCCUCACCGCACACGCUCCCAGUGAAGUUGUUUGAAAGUCUUCCGGCAGUUUUAGCGGGCAGGAAUAACAGAUUAGCCAUGAUCUGAUCAGCCCAGUAUCUAAGCUGUAUUCUCCCCGCUGACAAGUAUUUGAAAGAGGGGAGGGGCCACUUUCAGCCCAACGAUGAAUCUUUCACCGACAAGAAAAGGCCCUUUUUUCUCCUGCGAGCAACAGGCUGCUCUGUGCCCUGUUGCUAAGUGAGACCCAGGGCUGUUUCUUGCAUGCUUGCAUGGAGCCCUUGGGUUAGCGGGAUCAGGAGAUUCACACCAGACAUCUUGUUUUGGGGGGGAGUUCUCUUUUCCCCCACCUUUGACUGGCAGAUAACAGCUCGCAGGCGAGGCCCAGGGAUGCCCUCGCUGCACUGCUGGUUCUGGGGAAGGGAAGAUGCAGGAGGCUCUGCAGAGUGGUGUUGGGGCUGGUAACAGCCCUAAAUGUCUGGGGUGUGCUGGAACACACGUGAGUUUCACCGGCAUGGCUGAAGGAGGUCAUCACAGCCCCUGUAUGUCAUUGGAUCAAGGUGCAUAGGGACCUUUGGGAAGUGGCCUUAAAGGAUGCUCCAGUGGUGGCCAAGCAAAAGCCACCAUCAAGGGCCACCAAGAGUAAUUUGUCUUCAUGCUUUGAUGCCUCUGGUUAUAGUUUGAGAAGGGAACACAAGGCAGAGGAGAAGGGGACAAUCUUCAGCCCUGAGCUAGCUUUGUGGUCCCUGCAGCCCCAUGCUGCUCCAGAGCACCCUCACCCCCUUCCAGCCCCAGCCAACCCUGUGAGAAAGAAGAGAAAUCACUAAAACAAAGGUCUCCCAGGCAAUUUCUGGAGCUGCCAGCAUGAGGUGCCCUCGCCUCAGCCAUAGUGCUCACAUCCCUCCUCUCCUGCAAGGCAGUGAUGCAGGCAGGGCUGCCCGCUGCCAGGAUAGGGGCUGGCACCAUCCCAGUGCCCCGGUCGGGGGGAUGGGGGAAGCAGGGGACUCUCCUUCACUGAACCAGAUGCCAGAAGGGCUGUGAGAGUUAUUGCCGCUUUGAGCAGCACCGAAAGGAAAGAAACCCCCCAGCCUUUGGGUUUGAAACACAAAAGGCCGGAUCUGUGCCUGAGACACAGCUCCCUUCCGGAGCUCAAGCAGCACAAAGCAGCUGAAAAAAAAAUGGCUUUUCUGGCAAGAUGAACUCUCCUCCAGCAUGGGAUGAUGGCAGAUCUCUGCCUUGCUGUGCAGCCAGAACAGGCUGCCCUUUCCUUCCCGGUGCAGUCUGCAAUCACCUCACCCAAUACUUCAUGGACAGAAGGACAUGCAUCUGACUGGCCCCAACCUUCCCAUCUUGAUGGCAGUGACCAGGUAUCUAGGACCUAUAUGUGCUGUGGGUGGCAGGCCCCCAGCACCUCAUGGAGUACUCCUGACUUCAUUAUUUUUGCCUCGGUCAUUCCUCCUGGCCUUACUCCCAGGCCUUGGCUUUGCUGGGACCAUUGCUUGAAAGGGACUUAGUGGUGAGAGCUUUGCAUUUCUGCUGGAACUCUUAAAGCACCAGGACCCAUUUAUUCUUCUGCUCUGCACUGAAAUGGCCCCAGAAAGCUCCGCUGGCAGGCCUGGGAGGGACCCAGCUGUCCACUUUCCAUGCCAAACCCAUGGGGUGCACAGGGGCUUUUCCCCAGCACCGCAUCUUCUGGAAGGAAGAAGGCAAAUUUGCCUUCAUGGAACAGUCAGCAAAACCUGACCUGAGAAUUCAUGUCCCGGUGCUGAAAUAAACCAUUGUGCAGCAAAGAAUAGUACACAAUAUAAGCACUCAGGAAAGAAGCAAAUAAUUUUAUCCUGAUUUCUAGUGUCUUCCUGACUUGUGCGCACCCUCCCAUCCUCACACAUGUCAGCAGAACAAGCACACAGCAGAGAUAUUUAUAUGAAAAUCCUGCUAUCUCCACAGCUAUCUAUAGCAGCUCUAUCUGCGCCCAUGGUUCCAUCCCGUGCUUUGGUUCCCUUGGAGUAGCUCAAGCACCCGGACUGCCCCCAUGCACCUCACCUUCACCAUCAUCAAAAAGGACCAAACCAAAAGCCAUCGUGCCAUGAAGCAGCGGUUUGGUGGAGCAGGAGGAUAUGGAGGACAAAUGAUGGGGACCGAUGGGUGCCGGUCAUCGUUAUUUGGGGUGCCACUGGGAGGGGAUCACCCCACUGCCCCCACCCUACAGAAAAGGGCCCCCGUUCAAGAAGACAGGGAGGCAAAUCAGUAUGCAGAAGUGGUCUCCGCUCGCCAAUAAAUUAGCAUAAACCACUCUAGGAGGUAAAUAGACAUACAAGGCGCCAGUGUGUGCAGCGUGGGCUGCGGCUUUGUCUCAGCGCCACUAUUGUCACGGCCCCUGCUGCAGGCUGACCGAGUGGGGCUGUGUGGUGGUUUCUUACACUUUUGACUGCUGGAUAAAAGGGGGGAACAUAAAGAGAGGGGAGAACUUUUUUCUUUUUUUUUUUUUUAUAAGUCCAGACGAAGUUACAGACGUCUGUUAAACGUCAAUUACAGCUGAAUAAAGACGUCUGCUUAAGGCUUAGUUAUGGCUCCUUUCAGCCACUGAGAUUUUUCCAGGGCUGGCCCGGGAUGCCUUCGGCAACCUAAUUUGGAGAUUGUAACUCUAUAAACAGGCUCUGGCAUUAAUCAGGGCUGGUGGAAAUGCAAAUGACGGUGUGCAGGGGGCUUGGAGAUGGGUUGGGGUCCUGUGUCUUGGAGCCUGGGCAAAGAGUAAAAAGAGGAAAGCAAAGGCAAGGAAGAAAGGGGCCGUGUGGAGAUGCGGGGACCCGUAAAUAGUUAGCUUGGUGGGUUUUUACCACUUUCCUGCUGGUGCUCGGAAAUCUGGACCCAUCAGGUCUUUCCAUACCCUCCCAGUGCUUCCACCUGCACCAGCCUAGAGCCAGCUGGCCCUGGGAUCUUUCCACACCAAGGCCAAAACAUGAACAAAGCGGGCAUUUAAAGCUUUCAUAUCCCAGAGGACCAUCGGGUGCUUGGAAGAGACCAACCUGUAUGAGAAAGGGUGUCCAAGCAAUGGGGAAUUCAAUGCUGCUAAGAGACACUGCUACAAAAGGGCAGAUUGCAUAUUCCCAUCUUUUAUUGCAAAGCCUGUUGAUGUUGUCUCCAUUUUGUUGUAGGAAAAAGGACUCGAGCUGAGCAGGAAAUAAAGUUCUAGGGCACGUUGUACGCACCAUUACAAGCCAUCCUGAUGACCACAAAGACCAAAGCACCUUUCCAUGGGGAGAAUCUAGGGACCAUCUUCCCUCUCAGAUACCUUCAUGGCAGGGAAAGAAAGGUCAAACCUUGCAGUGAGGAGGUACCACUGAGCCCAGAAAACAAGAGACAACGGAAGAUGGAUUGGAUUUAGGGUGAUCGGAGGGUCAAAAUUGGAGAUGCGGUGUGGGAUGUAGAGCAAACCCCAAUGGACAACACCCAGGGCUCCCAAAACGCAGGAGGACGGUGGACCAGCGACAGCUGGAAGAUUUAAUUGCUCCUCUCCGCAGACCUGCUCGGCUCCCUCCCUCUCAGAUCUGCAUUUCAAUAUGAGAGCAGCAGUCUCGACAGGAUCAGCGGGAGCAGCGGUGCAGACCCCGACGGGAGGAGGACAGCGAUAGUGCCGGGCAGGCCUCAGCCCCGAGCAGCCCGCGGGGACCUCGCCCCUCCUCGCGGUGUCACCGAGCCGUGUCAGGGUUCAAGGCAUCGGAAGCUCGGCUAAAUACCGCCUUCCCCAAAUCCUCCCUCUGCAUUUCGUGCCCCUUGGAUUCAACGCUUGGAUGGAAAGCCAUAUCCAGUGCUGCUGGGGGCAAGGCGUGGACUGCACAUCCCUAUUCCUGCUGCAAAUCCAGAGCAGCGCUCAGCCCCAAAGCCUCCAGCCAAGGUGCAGAGGGGUGACCGGGAGCAGCGGUUCUGGGGACAGGGAAUGGGGUGGGGACACAGAGCCGGCGGGGGCUGCUCGCCCUCCCCAGGCCUGCGGGAAGCGGGGAUUGCAUCUGCCUUUAAUUACUCCCUCUCUGCAUAUCAGAUGCUCGUGCACCUUCUGCACAUGAAUGCUGAUUAAUUGCAGGGUUAGGCUCUGAGGCAGGCCGGACCACAUUAUUUCUGAUGUUUGCUCUUUUCACGAGGAGAAUAAAUGCCAUGAAUCCACAGUAAUCAGUGGCUUUUAGCUUGUCACUCUUAUGACACUCUUUACUUAGACCAGGAAAUGGCAAAUGUGGUGGAAAUAAGAACUUUAUUAUCUAUUUUUUUUUCGUAUCCCAAAAGGGAGGUGCGCGCUGGGGAGGAGGGGUGGCAGAAGAAGGUGGUGGGGGCAUCUCGCCGAGCAGGAGACGGAGAAAUAGUCUCCAUUUUCCCUGCAAACGAAGAGUUGCGCUUCACCUCGUUCAGUAACGGAGAGAAGAAAAGCAGUGGCCGUCCCUUUGUGGCAGCUCCUGGGGAGGAGGCCCGGCAGGCGGGAAAAGGCUGCACCAUCCCAACCCACUUCUGUCAUGGCUGUGAGCGGUGUCGCAGCACAGGGCACGAGAAGAGAAGGCUGGGGAUGUCCCUGGGCUCAGCUGGGAUUCUCAGGGCUGCUUUGAGGUGCCGGUGGCUGUGCCCUUGGGUAGGAACGGUAGGCAGCAGGGCGUCACCCGUCUGUGACCUCCAUCAUGGCCUUGCCGUGAGGGACAGCCCAAAGUGUGGAGUGUGUGCAGACCUCACGUGCAGCAUCCCCUGUCCCUCGAGGGUCAUCCCGUCCCCUCACGGCACAAGGAGGCCCUGCGAUGUAGUGCAACCCAAGGCCCCCAUUGCCCGUCCCUUGUCGCGGCCUUCCUCGUCGACAAAGCCCGCCCGGCCCCAUCGGCUCAGGUGGGAGCGCCUUUCACCGCCUCCCUCAAUGCCCUGCUAGCGAUCUCAUUGCCGCCGCUUAGCUCAGUGCGAGGGCAGCCCUCUGCUUUUCAGCGCCGAACAUCUGGCGUGCAGCGAGCGGGCGGCCGCCGGCCCCCUCCCUGUGCCCCCGCAAUUAGGCGGCCCCAAGCCCCGGCCCCGGCCCUGCUCAGGUGAGCGCCCGGCCGAGGAGGGGUAAUUAAGGUUAAUCAGAGGGCCGGGGGUCAGGGCGGUGGUGGGGAGACCCCGCCAAGUCUAAUGGCGGCCGUAAUUAGGCAGCUGUUGAGAAGCGGUUAAUGAAGACGGCGACCGUUAAUAAAGCUCUUCCUGAGCAGCCUUCUGGCCCGGGUAAUUGAGGGAUUUGCAAGUGCCAUCUCCCCCUUAACCCCGUAAUGAGGAGACCCGCGUUAACCCUUCCGGGCACGGAGCCGACGGCGGGGCCACAGUGUGCCCGCGGGGACGCAGCAUCGCCCGGCCUUCAGCCUCUCCCACGCCAGGCGCUCGGCACCGGGUCCCGGGAGCCCUUUGAGCCUCGCUCAAGCGCUGGCAGGGACUUUGCUCGCAGAUGCUUGGGUUCCCACGCCCGCCUCGGCAUUAUGCACGUCCCCCCCCGGCCCCACCACCCACCAGCGCCGGGAUGUCAUCAUCAGCCCCGGCCCUGGGAACCCACAUUGUUAGCUUAGUAAAUAGAGAAAUCCCCACUCAAGCAUUGCAAAUGAGGGCAGAGGGGGAGCCGGAGAACCGCUGCGGCCGCUGCGGCCACGAGGUCUCUUCCCUCGCUCGCUCCCUUUGAGUUGUCAGAUGAAUUCAGCGCUUAACAAAGAGCGAGGAAGGAGCGGAGCUGCCGCUGCAGCUGGGCAGGGCAGGGGGAUGCAGGACGGCGAUGCCGCUGGGCCGUGCAGCACCGAGUCCCUUGCUCCGUGCACCGUACUUGGGCAUCACGAUGUGCUGUGACGGGGGGGACAUCUCUGGGUAUGGAGCGGCCAAGCUGGGGAAACGUCUCAUGCCCACUCAGCAUCUCUGCUGCUGCUUGUGGCUGCAGAGCCCAGGAAAACCUGCUGACAUGUGGGGCACGAGGACCCAGAUCCUAGCCCCUGGAGGCUUCUGAAAUCUUCACAGAGAUGCAGUGAUGUGGGUGACUUUCUCUGACAGACAUCUUAACUCUGAGCCUGAGGAGGUCACCGUGCCAUUUGGGAGCUUUGCAAGCUUUCUCCCCUCUCGCUGCCUGCCUGACGCUGUCCCAAAAGCCCGUGUUCUGCAGUGUGCUGAGGUGUGCUGGCCCUGCUCUGCUUUGGGAUGGAGGGAUGAAGCACCCACAUCGUGGGCACCUGGCUCUGCUACAGCAGAAAUCUGCUCCUCUGGCACAAGACCAAAGAAGGGGGGUGUUGCGUGUCCUGCCCCUGCACAUCUGCAUGUGUGGAGAUAAGGAGCUGGGAGGAGAGCUGCCCUGCAUCCCACAGUGCCUGAGGUUGUCACUUCCAGCUAUUUUAGGGGAUCUUUUUCUUUUGUCUUGAGCAGAUCAAAUUCCCUUUAAAUUGUAGAAUAAAAAAAAAUAAAUAAGAAAAGGCUCAGAGGUGACUGAAUGCAGUCCGAUAGCAGCCUAGUGGUGCUGGCAUUGGGUGUUACCACUCACCGAUAAAUGUAUUCUCACCCCAAUAUUUGCCAGAAAACCUGCUUGGCAGAUCCCACAUGGAACACAACACUUAGAUUUUCAUGAGAACGUUUUAUUUGUUUGUUUGUUUAUUUGUUUGGUUUUGGCUCCCUGUUCCAUAAAACACUUUCACUUGGUCACAUGCAAAAUACAUUCAUCCCAUUUCCUUAAAACAAACAAAAUAACCUCUCUUCUCCAUCUGGCCUCUUUCUGAGCUCCUUUCUAGCCUGGUCUGCUUCUCUACUCCUCGCAAUAUGGAACAUGACAGGGUAUUUUCAAUGCUAUUUUUGUCCGUUGUGUCAUAGCUUAUAUUUAAAAUAGCAUUUAAAUCUGCCAAGUAGUGCAGUGUUUUAAACUGCUGUCAGACUGAAUUUCUCCUCCUACAUACUGCAUAUUUCAGAUAUGGCUUCAAGACAGCUGAGGGGAGCUUGGAAGGAGGAGGGAAGUGGGGGUGGUUGGGGACCCAAUUGUCUGCAGGUGUGAGGACAGCCAGAGGGAGGGCAGAGCAAACAGAGGUGCUGAGCACAGGGGCAGAGAGGGGCACAGAGCCGUGGUUAGUGCCCAGUGAGGACCCGUUCCUUAUUUCCCCUCCUUAUAUCUGCUGAGGUCUAUAAAUGCAUAC